GGACUACUGGGGUAUCUAAUCCCGUUUGCUCCCCUGGCUUUCGCGCCUCAGCGUUAGAAGAGGUCCAGUGCGUCGCUUUCGCCUCCGGCGUUCCUCACAAUAUCAACGCAUUUCACCGCUCCACUGUGAGUUCCACACACCCCUACCUCCCUCGAGACGACCAGUAUCAAAGGCACUUCUACAGUUAAGCUGCAGGAUUUCACCCCUGACUUGGCCGACCGCCUACGCGCCCUUUAAGCCCAGUGAUUCCGAACAACGUUUGGACAGUUCGUCUUACCGCGGCUGCUGGCAC
rnacentral:rRNA from 1 species